AAUUAAAAUUUUUAUCCAUUUAUACGGUAAAAAACUAAAGUGGUUGACGGAAUAACCAGAAGUGUGACAUGUGGCGUGUCACGUGUAUAUUGUGCUAGUGCGCAUGGAUUAGUUUUUAACAAUAAAAAUUGAUGCAAUUUUUAAUA
rnacentral:pre_miRNA from 1 species